rnacentral:lncRNA from 1 species
AACUCCAGUCUUUAUUAUUCUAACGGCUGCCCACCCCCUUAAAAGGUUUUUCAUCGUUCUCACUCUCUGAUUUUGAGAGAAAACCAGCCAAACUUCCUAAUUCUAAGGAACCUAGAGCACUCUCACAAAAAUCAACCAUACACACACAUAGAAAGAGGAGGAACGGGCAGAGCAAUAUAAAGGGGAAGGAAAUUUUCGGGAAAAAAAAAGUUCUAAAGUUGUUCUUUUCCAGUUUGUUCAUAGAAAAAAAAUGGAGUGAUUUCUUUCUUUUAAAAUCAGAAAAGAAUGCAAAAUUUUAGCUCCUUCCUCCCUCAUUUUGGUUCUAAAAAAUGGAGUUCGAUUGAGCUGAAAUCGAGUAUGUUGUUCGAGUUUUUCGGCAAGGUUUUGAGUUUCCGGCAUGGUCUUUGGUUAACAGGUUUGGUAUUAUCGGCUCGAUCUUCUUUGUAAAUCAGCUGAGAAGCUUUUUUUUUUAUAUUUUGAAAGUUAUAAAAAGGUCUGUUUCCAGCAUUUUCUUAGUUCUGCUAGUUUUUUUUUGCUUAUUAUAGUUUGGUGUUUAUUGUUUAUUAGCUUAUGCCUAUUUUGUGUCAGCAUGAUUUUAGUUGUUGCUUUGUUUGGUUUUGUUCAUUUUCAUAAUAUUCUGUUGGUUUAUUCCUUUGAGUUGUGAGGGUUAACAUCGUUGGUUAAAUCAAUUAAGCAGUUUGGUGGAUGUUUUAGUCGUUCUUCUGUGAUACCAUACAUUAAUCUUGUUAAUUUGACUAGUUUAUUCAUUUUUUUCUUAAAAUUAAUUGUCUUGUUCUCUGAAUUAUGAUAAUAGAUUUGAUAUAAUGGAAUUUGGACUUAGUAUGUUGGGUCAUUAAUCUGUUUGGGGCUACAGAGUAUUGGUACAUGUUGGCCUAUUUACUCCUUUAACUAAUUUACUUCAUUUUUCACAACUAUUUCAUAACAUAUGACCUUCACAAUAAUAUCAAAUUAGAUUAGAAAAUAAAUCACAAAUAUCGUAGCUUGCUUUAGGCGCAAUUAAUAAUAAAAUAUCGUGACUAUAGGUACGAUUCCCGUGGCAUAGCCAUGAUACGUAAUUCAAAUAAAAUUCCAUAAAUAAUAAAAGCGGUUAGAAAGUUAAAAUGCACAAUAGGUUCUAAAUAUGUAAUAAUUCAGAUAAUUAGGCCAACUAUUAAUAGUUGAGCGACCGUGCUAAAAUCACGAAACUCGGGAGUGCCUAACACCUUUUCCCGGGUUAACAGAAUUUCUUACCCGGUCUUCUAGUUUCGCGGACUUUAAAACAGAGUCAAAUUUCCUCGAUUUAGGAUUUAAAAUAAACCGAUGAGUUAGGAUACCAUAAAUUAUUCCGAGUGGCGACUAUGAAUAAAUAAAUAAUCUCAUUUCGAUUAAUGUCACUUUAUUUGGAAAAACUCUAUAUCCCUUCGGGAAAAAAAAAAGGAGGUGUGAUAGCUCUGGCGACUCUACUGGGGAUCGAACACAAAAUCUCUGGUUCAGGGUUCAGAAUUCGAGCUUAGAAUAACUGUUAUACUUGGCUUUUAUUUUUAUCUGAUUUUUUUUUACGUGUUUGAGCCUAAUAUGCUAAAUGCCAUUUUUUACCGCUUUGAUAUUGUUUGAACUGUAUAUAAAACUGUUGAGAAAUCCUUCUUCUCUCUAGGUCUUCUAAAUCUUUUGGGAAGUGCACGCUGGCGUGACUUCUUUUCUGUUAGUGUCUUACCCUAAUUUAGAACGAGGAUCAGAUCAGUUAUAAAUCCAGAUGGCCUUUUGGUUCCCGGUACGUUGCCCCUCCUCGGCUCGAGUUGUCCGCUCGGGUAAGCCAGGUCUAGAACAAUACACCCCAGAAUUCAAACCUAGUAUGACAUAACCUCAUACCGGAUCCCUAGUAGGUACGUUUGUUUGUAUUACGUGCAUUUGACUUUGGGGACUCAACACAAGAGUUGGGUCCGUCUAGGAUAGGUGUACCCAAUUUAAAAGACUAUCCUAAUACAUUUUACGUGCUACUUGUACAUUUAUUUAUUUCGGCUUGCAUGUUGACUGACUUCUAGAAUAGGGAAAGAAAAUCAAAAAAUACCAAGAGUGAGGUAGGAGAGAAAAUCACCCGGUUCUGAAAAUCCUGGUAUUCAAAACAUCCCUUAACUCUGCCAAAAUUUUGAAAAAAAAAAAGAAAGAAAGAAAAGAUCAUUUCAAAAUAAGUCAUAUUUUCUUGUUGUGUCAAAACUGACCGAACUACGCGGGUCUGAUUCUCACCAGAUGUGAGAUACCUAGGCAAACCUCAUCGGUUCCGGCCCAUAAUUUGUAAAAAUCCAAAAAUAUUCUCCUUUACUUCCUUCUUUAGAAAAGUCUUUCUUUGAGACCCCAAUUUUAUUUUUAAUAAAACCAAAUUCCAAAAAUAUUUUCUUUUAAUUUCUUCUAAAAAUCUAAAAAAUAUUUUUUUUAGAAGUCUUUCUUUCAUAAAUUUAAAAUAAAAGUUCAAAAAUCUAAAAAUAUUUCCUUUCUUCUUUAGAAGUUUUUCUUUUGCAAUUCCAAAAAAAAAAUCGAAAUUCAAAUAAAAUAUUUUAUUUCUUCUUCGAAGUUUUUCUUUUCGAAAUUCUAAAAAAAAACAAAAUCGAAAUCCAAAAAUAUUAAUUUUUCUUUGUAAGUCUUUCAUUCGAAAAUUAAAAAGAAAUUCAAAAAUUCAAAAAAAAGAAGUGAGUUUAUUUAUUUUAUUCAUGAUCUUCCCGAACUACGCAUACUUGAUUCUCGUCUUUCGAGGCGGGAUACGUAGGUAGCCCACAUAAGGUCCAGUCUUCCUAGUGAGUCUUAAGUUCUUGGCUUCGGUGGUCAUAGCCAAAUCUUGCAUGCCUAGCCACGUUUGGCCACAUCGGUCAUUUUGCAAAAUAGGGCUAUUUUUCUCAAAGUGGUAUGUACAAGAUGUUCUCUCAGUUUAAGGUCCAUUCUUGUUGAAUUUGCAUGCUUAGCCAUUUUUCGGCCACAUAGGCCAUUUCUACAAAGCAAUUUUAGGGACUGCGAUUCCUGAGAGUUUAUGAGCCUUCGUGAGAUGGUUUGGAUCCACUUACCAGAGGUUGAGCAUGACAGACGCCUUAGGACCAUCCCAAUCACGAUUGUUGCCUUUAGAAGCUGUUUGAGGAGACUUUUUAUAUUUUGAGUCUGUUUUCAUGUUUCUUUUACUUUCUGGUCUUGUCCAGUAGUAUUGUUUCUUUUAGGUGGUGUCAGAGUCUGUCAUAGUCUAGUUGAGUUUGUCGAGCUUUUUGUUAUCGUACUUCGUAUUUUGUAUUUGAAAAACCAAAAAAAAUUAUAAAUGAAAAAUCCAAAAAGAUUUUAGUUUAUUUUGUCCAUCACUUUUUCCAGAACUACGCUUGGUCUGAUUCUCACCGGAUGUAGGAUACGUAGACAACCUACAUCGGGUUCAAUCGAAUUAUUUUCAAAAGUAAAAAGAAAAAAAGAGGUUUUCCAAAAUAAAGGUUGAUUCGUGACAAGUUUGGAGUUGAACAAACACCAUUCCGAUUCUAUUCAACCAAAAGCAAUGUUGCCCAGAAAUGACAACUCAUGUGCUUUCAAGACCAUAUCCAUCCUCUUUCAAUCCAUUGUCACAUCAAAAGAUAACAUUGACCAUGUACUACUCGAUACAAACCGUCACUUUCCUCCAUGCCUUGGCCCUUUUUGAACACUUCAAGGUCUUGAUUAAUUAAAAGGAUUCAUUGAGUUGAUUCAAAAUGGAGGAUACCAAUGUCCCUUGGUCUCACAUGCCAAUAAUAGCUUAUGACCUUAUCCAAAUGAGUCAAGAAUAGUGCAUACCUCAAUCCUUUCUCGUGCUAAAGGGACUUGUUUGUGGUUUUAAUUUGGUCAUUCUUUCAGAUAGACCGGUUCAACCAGGGGUUUUGGAUCAUGUUUUGUUUGUCUUGUUCAACCCGCGUGUCCUAUUCACCUUUCUCUCUUAAAUGAAAUCUUUUACUCAUUCCCCAUUGUUAUUGUAUUUUCUCAUUCACAUUCACUACAGUUCACCAUCUUCUAGCCUACUAAAUGUGACAUGCGUCACGACCAGUGACAAGGUUUGGACAUUAGCAAAAGCUUUCAGGUAAUGAGUUAUAAAAUAAUAAAAUUCCAAGGGAAAAGAUGAUAAUGAAUUUCACAUUCAGGAAGAAACAAGUUUUUGAGCUGAUGAUAAGCACCUCUAGGGUCCAAUUGAAAAGAGAAUUCGCAAGUGAAAUCUAAAGUUAUUUUGGUUCUAUCCUCCAUAUGUAUGUUAUUCCUUCAGGAUGUUCCUGGUGAAAUCAGUGUGAAGCAUGUCUUGAGUUGACAUUUUUAGAGUUGAAAUGACGAAAGGCUAUCUUUCUGCUAUCCAAACACUAAUAGCACUUGUCAGCCCUUUGAGCCUUAAUAUAUUUCUCUUUCAGUGGCAACCCUCUUUUGGAUUCAAGUGCAUGUCAGGGUUUAGAAUCAUGCCCGUUUGAAUGGUAAUAUCUAAGAAAAAAAGUAAGAAAAGGUAGAACGGAAAAUAAAAGGAAAAAAAGAAGAAAAGAAAAAAAAGAAGGAAAAAGAAAAAGAAGAGAGAUCCUCACACCAUGUAGUUCUUUGAACUACAUUCGAUGUGAUUCUUGUUACCACAAGAUACGUAGGCAGCCUUACGGUUCGGUCGCACCAAAUAAAAUAUUUCAUAAUCCUACAAAGUCAAGAGUGGGGCAUGUUAUUAGAAAUUCCAUCUCAAAAAAAAAAAGAAAAAGAAAAGAAAAAGAUAAAAAAGAAAAAAAAAACUCAAAUUCUCUUGUUUCAGAAACUGGGGCAAAGUUUUUAAAAUGGAUUCCAAAAGUUAUAAAUAAAGUACCCCUGUCAUUACAAUUUUGAGCCUCCAUGCGGUCCUUUCUUUCCUGCCCUGUCCAAAAGCCUCAUUACGGUCCAAAUAAAAGUCCUUAUCAGAUUAAUUUAUGAAAAUGCCAAGUCAAGCAUGUUGUGAGCUUAUCAAGAUUUUUUGUGGAAAUCAAUAACGAUUGAAGGGGUAGUCAAUUAGCCAAGCUAGGAAUUGGAAGCGGUGUUUAGGAAAAUGAGAGAGACUUGUUGGUGAAAACCUUUCGAGGCACUACAAGUCGAAAUGGUGAGAUAUGAGUGCAACAAAAUAUCUUUGAUUAAAACACGCAAUGUCUGACGCAUAUUUGGAGGAGCAAAGUAGACCAACUCUUCAACACCAAGCAAAAGAUUUGACAAGUCAACAAGUUUGGAAAGAUGGACAAAUCAAGUUAUUGGUCUAAAUACAUGUCACAUUCAUUUGCCUUAUUCUUCAUUUUAGAUAAGCUCUCCUUCUUCUCAGUGGAAUCUCAUCAUACACCACUCUCUUUGAUUUUUACUUGUGCAUUUUUUCUUCUUCUUUUGCUCAAGACAAGCAAGAAAGAAUUUUUAAAUUUUCCAUAAAGAGGUCCCAAAUUAGGAAAGGAUGUGAUCAAUUUGACAAUCAAUGUGAAGAGACGCUCAAUUCGGCAAUCCAAGUGAAAGGAAAAUAACUCGUUUGGCAAUACAACUGAAACAAAUGAAUUAAUUUUUGGGAAUUUGAGUGAAGUGAUGUGAACAAACUUGGUUGAAUCCCAUGGGCAAAUCACUCUGGAUCAUUUUCGAAACCAAUGCAAAUGAAUCGUGCCAAGCCAAGUCAGAUAACAAUGCCUAAAAGUCAGCUUGCAAGUUUAUCAUGAGUCAACCAAUUGUUUUUAAUUAAACAAAAAAGAGGAAAAAGAGAAAAAAAAAUCAUGUAUUUAUUUUAAUUGAAGCAUAGGCUGUUUGACAAUCUCAUUACCCCCGGGUAUUUUCUUAGUUGAGAAGAUCAUUGACUCCCAGGCAUUUUACCUAGUUGAGAAGAACCAUACCUCCUAGGCAUUCCCCUAGUUGAGAAGAAUUUUUAGUUUUCUUUAAGUUCAGGGGUCCCGCCUGAAAAAUAGGGCCACUUUUUAUUCUAGCCAAGCUCAGUUUACAUUUUUCUCAGGCUCAAUUUCACAUCUAGGAGAUGCACUUCCUAGUCUGGGUCUUUCAGGUCAUUCUUUUAGGAGACACACUUCCUAAAUUGAGAUUUCACUUCUAGGAGACGCACUUCCUAGUUUGGAUCAUUCAAGUGUCACCCCUAGGAGACGUACUUCCUAGUUUGUUUGGGUCAUUCAGGUUUUAUUUUUAACAGACGCAUUUGCUAGUCAAACUUUUCUUGGUUUUACUCAUAAGAGACGCACAUCCUAGUCGAGUCUUUGGUUCUAGUCUCAUCAUUGCAUCCUUCAUCGAUAGCAUACGUGAUUUACACUUUUGCUAAUAACUCACAAAUCUUCCUAGUGCAAACUGGGGCAGAAAUGUUUGUUUGUUUUGUUUGUUUUGAUUGCAGGAACCCACCUGAAGAACGAGGGGAAAUAUUUCAGAAAUCAGUUUUAGUUUUAAUUUAUCAGGCGCCCACCUGGAGAAUGAGAAAAUUUAUUUCAAGUUUUAAGUCAUCAGGCGCCCAACUAGAGAACGAGGGAAUUUAUUUCAAGUUAUAAGUCAUCAGGCACCCACCUGGAGAACGAGGGAAUUUAUUUCAAGUUUUAAGUCAGCAGGCGCCCACCUGAAAAAUGAGGGAAUUC